rnacentral:misc_RNA from 1 species
UCCGGUUUGUCACCGGCAGUCCCCCAUGAGUCCCCGACUUUACUCGCUGGCAACAUGGGGCAGGGGUUGCGCUCGUUGCGGGACUUAACCCUACACCUCACGACACGAGCUGACGACAGCCAUGCACCACCUGUAUAGGACCCUUACGGACCCCCCAUCUCUGGAGGAUUUCCCUAUAUGUCAAACCCAGGUAAGGUUCUUCGCGUUGCAUCGAAUUAAUCCGCAUGCUCCGCCGCUUGUGCGGGCCCCCGUCAAUUCCUUUGAGUUUUAGCCUUGCGGCCGUACUCCUCAGGCGGGGUACUUAAUGCGUUAGCUUCGGCACAGGAGGAGUCGACACCUCCUACACCUAGUACCCAUCGUUUACGGCGUGGACUAC